UCCUGGUUAGCUCAGUUGGUAGAGCGCUCCACUGGAAACGAAGAGGUCCCUGGUUCGUCACCAAGACCAGGCG
rnacentral:tRNA from 2 species